GAGUUUUCUCCCCUUUUGUUUUUGAAAUCAGUAUUUCUCCACAACCAUACAAGUGAUUGACCUGGGGUCUUUUGAUUUGAGAUCACUGACCUAUGACCUCAAAAUUGAGGUCAAGGUCAAAGGUCAAUUUUACGUUCUAGAUUUUGACCUUUGCUAAAAAUUCUUUCUUGUUCAUUAUAAAACAAUUAAGUCUUCUGCGUAAACCUAUUAAUCUUAUUUUUUUUAAUUCAGUUUGAUUUACCACAUUACAUCAACACGGA
rnacentral:lncRNA from 1 species